UAUGUAUUUGUGCAGCCGCCGCGGUAAAACGUAGGUCACAAGCGUUGUCCGGAAUUACUGGGUGUAAAGGGAGCGCAGGCGGGAGAACAAGUUGGAAGUGAAAUCCAUGGGCUCAACCCAUGAACUGCUUUCAAAACUGUUUUUCUUGAGUAGUGCAGAGGUAGGCGGAAUUCCCGGUGUAGCGGUGGAAUGCGUAGAUAUCGGGAGGAACACCAGUGGCGAAGGCGGCCUACUGGGCACCAACUGACGCUGAGGCUCGAAAGUGUGGGUAGCAAACAGG
rnacentral:rRNA from 1 species